GUUAGGACCUGGUGAUGACUGUAGAGCCUUCAGCAUGGGUUCAGACCCCCUCUCUGCCUUGGUUAGGGCCUGGUGAUGACCGUAGAACCUUCAGCAUGGGUUCAGACCCCCUCUCUACCUUGGUUAGGGCCUGGGAUGACCGUAGAGCCUUCAGCAUGUAUAUAUACAAUGAACCUAUACACACCACAUAAACAAAUGAUUGGAUGUCAAUGGGGUAAAACCUACAGAUGGAAACAGUGACUCACGACACAGCACAGACCUACAGCAUGAGGAUUGUUCUGACACAAAACAGAGGGGUCUUCACAAAUAAUCAUAAUAAUAAUAAUAAUAAUAACAAUAAUAAUAAUAAUAAUAAUGUUGAAUCUGUACAGUUUAAAUAGUAUCUCCUUUAAAUAGUUAAAUUGUUUGCAUAUCUUUAUGGAUAAAAUGUCAAUGUAAUCAAUUAUACAAAAACAAUUAUAACAUUAAUAUGAAUUUUCUUUGUUUAUUGUUGUUUUUAAAUCAGAAAACAUAAGUGUGUUUAUAGCAGAAACAACUACUUAAAUGUCCUAUUUGAGUCAAACGAAAGACACCUUAAUCGAAAAUGACUUGAGUAUAAGUGAAAAUCACCCAGUAAAAUAGUACUUGAGUCAAAGUAUCUGUUUUUAAAAUGUACUUUAAGUACAAUGGUGGGAAAAAGUAUGAAACUGGUGGGAUAAAGCAAAGAAUAUAAAUCAAACUCCUGACGGUAUGAUUUUCUCUUAAGUUUUUUUUUAAAUUUACGGAUAGCCAGGGGCUCCAACACUCAGAAGAGAUUUACAAACGCACUGUGUGUGUGUUUAGUGAGUCCUCCAGAUCAGAGGCAGUAGGGAUGACCAGGGAUGUUCUCUGUUUAGUGAGUCCUCCAGAUCAGAGGCAGUAGGGAUGACCAGGGAUGUUCUCUGUUUAGUGAGUCCUCCAGGUCAGAGGCAGUAGGGAUGACCAGGGAUGUUCUCUGUUUAGUGAGUCCUCCAGAUUAGAGGCAGUAGGGACGACCAGGGAUGUUCUCUGUUUAGUGAGUCCACCAGAUCAGAGGCAGUAGGGAUGACCAGGGAUGUUCUCUGUUUAGUGAGUCCUCCAGAUUAGAGGCAGUAGGGACGACAACACCUGCUCUUGAUAAGUGUGUGAAUGGGACCAUAGUGCUGUCCUGCUUGAGAAUGCUAAAUGUAACGAGUACUUUUGGGUGUCAGGGGGAAAUAUAUGAGAAUAAAAAGUACAUUAUUUUCUUUUGGAAUGUAGUGAGGUAAAAAUAAAAGUUGUCAAAAAAUAUAAAUAGUAAAGUACAGAUACCCCCCCCCCAAAAAAAUACUUGAGUAGUACAUUAAAGUAUCAUUAUUUGUUUUACUUAAGUACUUUAAACCACUGCAGUUCAGAAAAUACUUAUUUACUUAUUGGUAAACCCCCCAAAAACAGCACACACACCUAGGGGUAAUAAAUCUAACAGCCCUUCUCCAGGUUUGUACCCGUUGAUUUGAUUACCACCGUGGCCUCCAGCCAACGAAUGAACCAGUUUAUUUUAAGGGAAAAUGACAGAGAUGUUUAUACCGAUCGCUGAAAGAGUAUCUGUUAACCUUGUGUAUGGAACUGAAUUACUGGUAUACUCUCUAAAUGAAUGCAGUGAACUGGGAUGUGAAUUACUGGUAUACUCUCUAAAUGAAUGCAGUGAACUGGGAUGUGAAUUAC
ensembl:lncRNA